rnacentral:rRNA from 1 species
AUACGUAGGGGGCGAGCGUUGUCCGGAAUUAUUGGGCGUAAAGGGCGCGUAGGCGGCUUUGCAAGUCAGUAGUGGAAGUCCAUUUUUCAAGGAUGGAAGUGCUACAGAAACUGCGGAGCUUGAGUGCAGGAGAGGUUAUCGGAAUUCCCGGUGUAGCGGUGAAAUGCGUAGAGAUCGGGAGGAACACCAGUGGCGAAGGCGGGUAACUGGACUGCAACUGACGCUGUGGCGCGAAAGUGUGGGGAGCAAACUGGAGUAGAUACCCUGGUAGUCCACACUGUAAACGAUGAAUGCUAGGUGUAGGAGGUAUCGACCCCUGCUGUGCCGCAGUAAACACAGUAAGCAUUCCGCCUGGGGAGUACGGUCGCAAGAUUAAAACUCAAAUGAAUUGACGGGU